rfam:Picea glauca, whole genome shotgun sequence.
ACAUGCCUACAACAUAGCAUUAAUGCACAAGAUCCCAUUAGAACUCUGCAGUUAAUCGUUCUCAGGCUAUAGUAGUACUGGGAUGGGUGACCGCCCAGGAACUCCUAUUUUUUUACAUGCC